rnacentral:rRNA from 1 species
CAUUACCGAGUGAGGGCCCUCUGGGUCCAACCUCCCACCCAUGUUUAUUGUACCUUGUUGCUUCGGCGGGCCCGCCUCACGGCCGCCGGGGGGCUUCUGCCCUCUGGCCCGCGCCCGCCGAAGACACCAUUGAACACUGUCUGAAGAUUGCAGUCUGAGCAAUUAGCUAAAUAAGUUAAAACUUUCAACAACGGAUCUCUUGGUUCCGGCAUCGAUGAAGAACGCAGCGAAAUGCGAUACGUAAUGUGAAUUGCAGAAUUCAGUGAAUCAUCGAGUCUUUGAACGCACAUUGCGCCCCUUGGUAUUCCGGGGGGCAUGCCUGUCCGAGCGUCAUUGCUGCCCUCAAGCACGGCUUGUGUGUUGGGCCCCGUCCUCCUUCCCGGGGGACGGGCCCGAAAGGCAGCGGCGGCACCGCGUCCGGUCCUCGAGCGUAUGGGGCUUUGUCACCCGCUCUUGUAGGCCCGGCCGGCGCUUGCCGACAACCAUCAAUCUUUUUUCAGGUUGACCUCGGAUCAGGUAGGGAUACCCGCUGAACUUAAGCAUAUCAAUAAGC